rnacentral:rRNA from 1 species
AGCGAACGCUGGCGGCAGGCUUAACACAUGCAAGUCGAGCGCCUGUAGCAAUACAGGAGCGGCAGACGGGAGAGUAACACGUGGGAACGUACCCUUCAGUUCGGAACAACCCAGGGAAACUUGGGCUAAUACCGAAUACGUCCGUAAGGAGAAAGAUUUAUCGCUGAGGGAUCGGCCCGCGUCUGAUUAGCUAGUUGGUGAGGUAACGGCUCACCAAGGCGACGAUCAGUAGCUGGUCUGAGAGGAUGAUCAGCCUCAUUGGGACUGAGACACGGCCCAAACUCCUACGGGAGGCAGCAGGUGGGGAAUAUUGGACAAUGGCGCAAGCCUGAUCCAGCCAUGCCG